UUUUAAAUAAGUAAUAUCAAUAUAUGUAGGUUAAAAAACUAAUAUGAUGGUAGGAAAAAUAAUUAAGGAGAAAUCCGAUCCUAUCUGGAAACAGAGAAUAAUCACCAAUGCGAAGGGAAACAUCCGAGUAGCAUUGGCAAUUAACCAACAGGGAUUGUAGUAGUACCGGUGAGAGAAUCUACAUCUAGCAUUUAAGUAAUACCAUGAGGUAUGAAUAUAGCAGAUCUACUGCUAAUGCAUAAGAAUCAUAUUAAGUUAUAAGUACUGUGAAGGAAAUAACCAAGUAUAUUUAUAUUUAUAUAUAUAUGUUUUUAUACAUAUAAUAUAUAUUAAUAAUAUAUAAAGAAAUAUAUUGAUAAAGAGCAGUCAUAGUAUGGCGUACCUCUUGUAUAAUGGGUCAGUGAGUUGAUAUUACAGGUGAAAAGGAAUUUAUUAAAAAUAAAUGAGUAAAUCUGUAGUGUCAGACCCGAAACCACAUGAUCUAUACAUAUACAGAUAUAUAUAUUGUAAUGAUAUAAUAUGAUCGAAUAGGUGAAUGUAGCAAUAUUCUCUAAAGAUGUGUGUAUAGUAGUGAAAGACAAACCUGAUGUGGCGAUAGCUGGUUGUCUGCGAAAUAUAUGUUAGUAUAGUCCUUAUAAUGAUUACGCCUGGUAAAUCAAUUAUUACUAUGUGGGGAUGAAUAUUUUUAUGAGUCUACCACAUAUAAUGAACGUCUGAACAGGUCGUUAGAUAAUGAUCGUAUAAGGAAUCAGACAUAUUGCGAUAAGGUGGUAUGUCGAGAAGGGAAUAACCGAGACUAGUAAAUGAAGGUCCCCAAAUCACUCUCAGUGACAUCGAUCCUAUAUACCUGUAUUUAUACAGGGCUUAUAACAUCAAUUAGACAGUUAGUCAGUGGGUUUGAUAAUAAUCACCUGAUAAUGAACAUGUAACAAUGCACUAACAGAAAUUAGAUUGGAGAAUAGGAAUAGAUAUACGGGUCUAAGAGUGAUACCGAAUACUAGAUAAUAAUAUUUCAUAUUUAUAAAAUAAUAUAGAAAUAAUAUUUAUGGUAGCAGACCACACAAUAUAUAAUUGUGAAGAAUAUGCUGACUUGAGUAACGAAAGACAAUAUGAGAUUGUCCUCACAAUACAUAAGGUUUUACAAUAAAUGAACGGUAUCUAAUUAUAUAUAUGAAGAUAUAUAUAAGAUGAUAAAUUAUUACAUGAAAUAAUAGUAACCGUACUGUAGACCGACACAGGUAUGUAAUGAAGUGAGAAUGGGUUAAUUGUUGUUAAUGAACUCGGCAAAAAACUGGUUAUUGUCCAGAAUAGUAGUACGACUGUUUACCAAAAACACAGCUUGUUGCUAGCUGGUGACAGCAGGUAUAACAAGUGAUAUCUGUCCGGUGUCAGUAUGACUAGUAGUCUGCUGGUUAACGACGGUCUUAUCAUGAGGAUCUAAUAGUAGCAAAAUUCAUUGGCACAUAAUUGGUGUCCCGCAUGAAUGAUUACACGAUACUACAGCUGUAUCAACAACAUUCCCAGUGAAAUAGUAAUCGCAGUGAAGAUACUGUGUAGCCAUAGAUUGACAAAAAGACCCUAUGCAGCUUUACUAUACCUCCAUAUUGAUCAAAGGUUUUUAAUAUGCGUAUAUAUUUAUAUAGCCCAUAUUAAUUUCAUGAGAUCUCAUCUAUUAUUAGAGACAUUGUGGAGGGGUUAGUUUCGAUGGGGCGUCGACAUCACAUAACUAAACUGAUGUGUCUAUAUGAUCUUUAUAUAUCAAUAUUUUUAUAUCACUUAUUAUCAUAAGGGUACAAAUAAUAUUAACACCAUCUUCAGUAAAUUUAUAUAUAUAUUUAAUAUAUCAUAUAAAAGCUGUCGAUAAUACUAGAAUGACCAUGUACAGAAAAACUAGACGGUAACUAGUAAAUCUAAGGAAUGGAGUAUAUCUCUUCCAAAGGAACAUGUCCCGUCGGGAUAUAUAUGUUUUAUAGAUAAUGUUUACGGAUAAUAACAUAACUGUGCAAUAAUGAUGACACAUACGAGUGGAAUCAGUACAUACGUAGGGUAUAAUGAACAGGCAAGAUCAAUAGAAGUGAGUGUCGAUAACGGAUGAAAGUUACGCUAGGGAUAACAGGGUAAUAUUGCUAGAGAGUUGAUAUCGCCAGCAAUGUUUGCCACCUCGAUGUCGUCUAGACUUCACCUACCGGUAGCAGAGGCUGGUAAGGGUAUGACUGUUCGUCAUUUAAUAAGUCACUCGAGAUGGGUUAAUUACGACGUGAGUCAGUAAGGAUUUUAUCAUCUAUGGCAUAAGUAAUAAUAUAUAUUUGUACGUGUACGAAAGGAUUGUACAGACAAAUCCUAUGGUUGACUGUUAGGUUAAUUCCCUAUUGUAAGCUAAGAUUUGACAGGAUAUGUGCUGAAAGAAUAUCAAGCACCAAGCCUCAUAUAUUCAUUACUAUUCAUUAUAGAUAAUAAUGAAAUGAUCAUUCAUCAUGUAACAUGAGAAUAAAUCAAUUGAUCUAAUUUAUUUUGUUUAAAAUA
rnacentral:rRNA from 1 species